rnacentral:rRNA from 1 species
GUGGGGAAUCUUGCGCAAUGGGCGAAAGCCUGACGCAGCCAUGCCGCGUGAAUGAUGAAGGUCUUAGGAUUGUAAAAUUCUUUCACCGGGGACGAUAAUGACGGCACCCGGAGAAGAAGCUCCGGCUAACUUCGUGCCAGCAGCCGCGGUAAUACGAAGGGGGCUAGCGUUGCUCGGAAUUACUGGGCGUAAAGGGCGCGUAGGCGGACAGCUUAGUCAGAGGUGAAAGCCCAGGGCUCAACCUUGGAAUUGCCUUUGAUACUGGCUGUCUUGAGUUUGGGAGAGGUGAGUGGAACUCCGAGUGUAGAGGUGAAAUUCGUAGAUAUUCGGAAGAACACCAGUGGCGAAGGCGACUCACUGGCCCAAUACUGACGCUGAGGCGCGAAAGCGUGGGGAGCAAACAGGAUUAGAAACCCUAGUAGUCC